rnacentral:pre_miRNA from 1 species
UCUGUUCACAUCUUACCGGGCAGCAUUAGAUUGUGCUCGAAUGUUCUAAUACUGUCAGGUAAAGAUGUCGUCAGGAUU